rnacentral:rRNA from 1 species
GAUGAACGCUGGCGGCGUGCCUAAUACAUGCAAGUCGAGCGAACAGACGAGGAGCUUGCCCCUCUGACGUUAGCGGCGGACGGGUGAGUAACACGUAGAUAACCUACCUAUAAGACUGGGAUAACUUCGGGAAACCGGAGCUAAUACCGGAUAAUAUAUUGAACCGCAUGGUUCAAUAGUGAAAGACGGUUUUGCUGUCACUUAUAGAUGGAUCCGCGCCGCAUUAGCUAGUUGGUAAGGUAACGGCUUACCAAGGCGACGCUGCGUAGCCGACCUGAGAGGGUGAUCGGCCACACUGGAACUGAGACACGGUCCAGACUCCUACGGGAGGCAGCAGUAGGGAAUCUUCCGCAAUGGGCGAAAGCCUGACGGAGCAACGCCGCGUGAGUGAUGAAGGUCUUCGGAUCGUAAAACUCUGUUAUUAGGGAAGAACAAAUGUGUAAGUAACUAUGCACGUCUUGACGGUACCUAAUCAGAAAGCCACGGCUAACUACGUG